rnacentral:misc_RNA from 1 species
AAAGCACUGUGGUGGGUAGUAUUAUACCACCAUUCUGCUAGAGACAAACACUUCCACCAAGAAAGUGGCUGUUGAAAACAUAAACACCUCAAGUACCCCUCCACACUUCAAGUACCCCUCCAAACUUUGAUUCAACCUUUCUGACUGCCCAUCAGAUUGGGGGUGGUAAGCUAAACUAAAGGCUAGUUGAGUACUUGUCAUUUUAAAAAGUUCCUUCCAAAAGAGACUAGUGAACACAUUGUCUUUAUCAUCAAUUAUAAGCACAGGACAGCCUUGGAG